GUUGAACUGUAACCGUAAGUUCACGUGUAUAUAGAAUACAUGAACUUACGUAUGUAUACAUGAACUUACGGUUACAGCUCAACAGCUGGCCUCUGUAGCUCAGUUGGUUAGAGCGCUGCACCGGAAUCGCUGGGCCGUAGGUUCAAUUCUUACCAGAUGACCUUGUGAUUCAUUUUUUGCAGUCGUUCCUGGACAGGUCUUAAAAUGUAUAUAUAUACUCACUUGGAUUACAAACUCUAAGAACAGCAUUCAAAUAUUAAUACCACCAAGUGAAGUGCAAGAAAAAAAAAAGAAAAAAAAAGAAACCAGAUCAUUGCAGUCCACCUUAUCACAACCCGCACACCCGAUCACCUAUAUAUACAUGAACUUACGGUAACCACUCAACAUGCAGCUGGCCUCUGUAGCUCAGUUGGUUAGAGCGCUGCAACGGAAUCGCAUGGCCGUAGGUUCAAUUCUUUCCUAAAGACCCUACGAACGAGCAUGAGUGCUCAAUUUGUUUUGUGUUAAAUUUCAGUGAAUAUCCUUGCACUAUUUACCUCCGGCUAGGGUCAAUAAUUGUGAAUUCUACCUAAAAAAACACAAACACAUAAACAUGCUAGCCAAACAAAAACAUUGUCAAAUAUUAACAUGGAAAGUGUAUUAGUUUAUAGCCCUCUAAAUUAAGAGCAACAACUUCGUUGUUGCAACGAUAUUUGAAGCAUAUUUUCUUUCAAGUAGGCAUUUUGUUUACAUUAAAUUUAAUGGGACAAAGAUAGACAAAGAAGCGAAUUGUGUUUGAGGGAAUGGAAAGACGAAGUAGGAUAAGACACUGUUCUAAAGAAAAAA